GACGAACGCUGGCGGCGUGCCUAACACAUGCAAGUCGAGCGGAGAUAUACGAGGAGUAAUCCGAGUAUAUUUUAGUGGCGGACGGGUGAGUAACGCGUGAGCAACCUGCCUUUCACAGGGGGAUAAGGCGGCGAAAGCCGCCCUAAUACCGCAUGAGACCACGGUGAAGAUUUCAGGGGGUCAAAGGAGCAAUCCGGUGAAAGAUGGGCUCGCGUCCGAUUAGGUAGUUGGUGGGGUAAAUGCCUACCAAGCCAAUGAUCGGUAGCCGGCACGAGAGGGUGAACGGCCACAUUGGAACUGAGAGACGGUCCAAACUCCUACGGGAGGCAGCAGUGGGGAAUAUUGGGCAAUGGGCGAAAGCCUGACCCAGCAACGCCGCGUGAGGGAAGAAGGUUUUCGGAUUGUAAACCUCUGUUCUUGGAGAAGAGAGAAAGACGGUAUCCAAGGAGGAAGCCCCGGCUAACUACGUGCCAGCCGCCGCGGUAA
rnacentral:rRNA from 1 species